GGUCGCUGGGGUUUUAACGGAUUCCUUGAGCUUUGGCUUCACACUCCCAACUAGGGUUUUUAGAGCGGCGGCGCCCGCCCCCUCUUCCGUGUCCCCUCCUCGACCAACGCUUCUAGCGAUCAAGUCGCCUAAACCCGCGACAACUAUGGACCGAUACCAGAGAGUCGAGAAGCCGAGGCCUGAGUCCACCAUUAACGAGAAUGAGAUUCGGAUCACUGCUCAGGGCCUCAUUCGCAAUUACAUUAGUUAUGCCACCACCCUUCUUCAGCUAGACUAAGCGAUACUGAGUUGGCCCCUCUAGAAGUUGGGAAAAAAAAAACUUAUUAUGAAAAUGAGUACCUUGGCAUUUCAUAUCAGAAGUGAAAUUUUGCAAUGUUCGCGGCUAAUAAUUCUGCAUAAUGGUAGAUUCAUUUCUGUAAUUUUUUGCUAGAGACGAGUGUGUUAAACAAAAUUUACAUUUCAUUUCCUAAGGAAUACCUGAUCAUAACCAUUAUGUAACAGAUUUUAUUUACCUAUUUACUUGCAUUAUAAGGAUGCCACCUGAGUUAUAAAGCCUUAAAAAAAAAAAGAAGGUUUUUCUAUA